GCGCUCACAUCGGUAGCACAUAUACUAAAAUUGGAAUGGUACGGAGAAGAUUGGCAUGGCCCCCACGCAAGGAUGACAUGCAAAUUCAUGAAGUGUUCCACAAAAAA
ensembl:snRNA U6 U6 spliceosomal RNA